AAGAAUAUCUGACAAUACAUCAUCGACACAUGACGAACAUGGGUAAAGGACUAGUGGGAACCAACAAGGCAUUGAUAUGCUUGUGGUUGGUGAUGCUGCUUCUCCUUUCAUCUGAAGAGAUGAGAUCUGAUGGCUGUGAAGGUCAUGAUAGCCAAACCUGGGAUGGCAACAUGUGUGUAAAGCACGGCACCUGCAAUGUGGUCUGCCAAAGAGAGGGUUAUGACAGAGGCCGCUGCUACGUGACUGUAUGCAGGUGCUACAAGAACUGCACUGCUCUACCAAUUUAGGCAUAUGAUCAUUUCGUGGAUGCUCGGUCGGUGCUAUUGCUAUGAGUCUAUGCAUUACAACAUAAGUAAAUCAAGAGGCUCCCUAUACAUGCAAUAAUAAAGGAUUCGUGCUUGAUGGUGUAA